rnacentral:antisense_RNA from 1 species
GGCCUCCCUCCGCCUCUAGCUGACCACAUUUCUGGGGCCGGUCUCAUUUGCUUACGCUAAAGUGGACCUAUGAGGUCAAAGGGCAUUACAGGCUUUUUGGCAGAUGCAGCUGAAGGACCUCUGGAAGGACUGUGCCAACGCAUGCACCAGCCUGCGUGGUCCCCCAUCCCUGUGGCUGGGGAUCCUGGAGUGACACCCUGAUCCAGACUCUGUCUUUAUCCCGUAACAGAGGAGAGGGCACGUCACUGCCACAGGCGCCUUUCCUCCCAUGCCACAGCAAGAUGCAGAUGAGCCACCCUCCCCAGACACACCCACUGCACGCUGCAGCGGGGCCCAGGGAGUUGAAUGUUCAGUCCAGGCCUCACCCCCGUGGUUCAGUGAGAUGCAGGGGACCACACGAAAUGCCAGAGGCAGCCUUCAAUAAGCAAAAGUCAAUAAGGCCCCCAAAGGCCUGGAUGCUUCAAGUCCAAGCACUCGGGGAUGGCGGAGGGAAGGUGCCACCCUCAUCACAGGCUGGGCAUGGCUUCCCAGGGGGGAUGCCAGGGAGAGGCUCCAGAUGUUCGGAGCCUCAGCGUGCCCAAUGCUACUAGGUCAGACCUGGCUUUCACCUCCACAGUCCUUAAGAGCUGGUUCAAGACUGGGGUAUGAAUGAACCUUACCUCCGACCCACUGAGCAGAGCGUGCCACGUCCUACCUGAGCCUGCUGCCUGAGCCUCAUGCCCCAAUGAGCAGAGUGUGCCGGGGGCUUGUGGGGGCUCAGGAAGAUGGGUCCUAUCCAAGACUGCCGCCUGAGUCUCACGCUGCAGCCCAGAGCUAGGACAGCACCACGGCCCCUCUUGAAGAACCCAGGGUCACCAAGGUCCACUUGGACAAUGGGCUGGCUGCCACGCCCCAACCCCGCCCGUGCCCCCCAGGGCCUCCCCAGCCCUGCCACUCACCAUAUGCUUCCUGCAGGUCAGCGGGACGAGGCCGUGGCAGCGCUUAUGGACCAGCAGUUUGCAGUUGAUGCACCUGUAGCCUUGCCUCGCGAGGCCCCAUAUCCUCUCGCUGCACUGACCGCAGUACGCUCUCUGCAGGUGGGAACAGAGCGUCAGGCCCAGGCCACACUGAGGGGCCAGCGGAGAGGACAGGCAGGGCCUUCCACACCUGUACCUUCUCAAAACAGGACACUGAGUCGGGCAACAGGCGGCCCCCGCACCUUGUCCCUUCUGGGCGCCAGGCUUGCCCAAGCUUGAUAGCCUCCUCUUGGGUCUAUCCCAAGGUUGGGGGAACCAAUGGCCCCAAGGAGAGGCCUGGAACCCUGCUCUGCAUGAGGGGACACAGGGGAGGUGCCAUCGGGCAGGGGUGACGAGGUGCUGCUUCAGGCAAGGCCCCGUGGCUUGCAGGGGCUGGGGGGCUGCAGCUCCUGCUGCGCUCUGCGUAGAGCAGCCUGGGGUCCCGUCUAGGGCUAAGCAGAGUGUGUGGGGGCACCCCCUGCCUGACCUUCAUUCAAACAGAACCUCCUCCCGACAGCCUCAGAGAAGGGGAACUCGGACUCAUGAACAUCCUGAACUGCUACACGGCAGCCUGCAAUUAUCUUAGUAUUCUUUGUUCAGUAUUUUUCAAGAUUUUAAAUGAUCCUUCUUUAUUCUUCAUGGUUCUGAACAAUUCGAAAAUGAUGGUAAUUAUCAGCUUGUUUGGCGAUGUUUUCAUGAACGUUUAAAUGUUACAAAAGGCAUGAGAAUGAAUGUUGUCGGGACCUGCUUGGACAUUUUCUGCCUUGCCUAAGUGCCCAAAGUGUUCCUGGGAGUAAAGGGGUGCAUCUGCACUGUCACCGUGUGCCCAGAGCCUCCAAUUCAGAUUCUUUCCAGACACAGCCCUUUCAUAUGCUUUUCCCUCUUUUACCAUUUUUCACAAAUUUCCUUCCUAUUACAGAGCUCACCUCACACCUGAGUUAAGACGAGGAAAUAUAGGCUGGGCGUGGUGGCUCAUGCCUGUAAUCCUAGCACUUUGAGAGGCCGAGGCGGGUGGAUCAGGAGGUCAGGAGAUUGAGACCAUCCUGGCUAACACGGUGAAACCCUGUCUCUACUACAAAAUACAAAAAAUUAGCCAGGUGUGGUGGCGGGCACCUGUAGUCCCAGGUACUCGGGAGGCUGAGGCAGGAGAAUGGCGUGAACCCGGGAGGCGGAGCUUGCAGUGAGCCGAGAUUGCGUCACUGCACUCCAGCCUGGGCGACAGAGAGAGACUCCGUCUCAAAAAAAAAAAAAAAAGAAGAGGAAAUACAGUGUACUGUGAACCGCCUGCACUGAAUUCACGUGAGGAAACGGGACUGAAGAGAAAAUACAGCACUGAGUUCACGUGAGGAACCGGGACCCUCAGCACAUGUGGGCAUCAGGUGCGGCUGAGCAAAGGGGGUCCAGACCCCCUACGGGACUCUCCUGCUCAUCAGAAGAGCCUGCUCAGGACGCCAGGGCCUGGGGACCCUCCCCCCACCCACAUAGCCUGCUUGUUUGGGUGGGGCCGGAUGACCAGCACCUAGGACAGUGCCCAGCACACAGUGGGCAUCGGGUAAGAAAACACACAUGCACCAUCGCUUUCAACUUCGUCCCAGGAAAAAGGAGCCGACUCCACAUCCUCUGCGAAUGCUACCUACAUCAGCCCGGCCAUGACAGAGCCACACCAGGACCGUGGGCUCUAUUCGAAGGAGGGAUGGGUGAGAGGGGGCAUCCCACCCAAGACCUCUGAUUCGGGGCCAAUCUAGCUUAAUGCCGGCAUUGGGAGUUUUGCCCCAGUCGGCACCUGCUGGAUGUGUGGACCCUGGAGUGAAAGGAGGCACUUUGGCUGUGCAGACCUGCUCCAUUCUCCUCUGCGUCCACAGCGCAGAAGAACACCAGCUUCCAUUUCUAAAACCAUUAUUUAAAAGUCAUGUUCUUUUGGUAUAAUGUGCCUAAUGUGUUUGGCUUUCUCUAGGUCACCAUUUAACAUCUUACUCUGCAACAUUACGGUCCUAGUUAAGACCAAAUUCACAGCCACCAGGUAUCUUUACAAAUUAACCAAGGUUGGCCAGGCGCGGUGGCUCACGCCUGUAAUCCCAGCACUUUGGGAGGCCAAGGCGGGCGGAUCACUUGCGGUCAGGAGUUCGAGACCAGCCUGACCAACAUGGAGAAACCCCAUCUCUACUAAAAGUACAAAAAUUAGCUGGGCGUGGUGGCGCACAUCUGUAAUCCCAGCUACUCGGGAGGCUGAAGCAGGAGAAUCACUUGAACCCAGGAGGCAGAGAUUGCAGUGAGCUGAGAUCACGCCACUGCACUCCAGCCUGGGCAACAGACUGAGACUGUGUCUCAAAAAAAAAAAAAAAAAGAAAAGAAAAACAAACAAACAAACAAAAAACAAAUUGACCAAGGUUCCUUUCCGUGGGGAGCCACCCUUACCUGGGGUCAGGCCAGGACAUCUGCUGACAAGGGCAGUGUGAAUCUGCCAAGGGUUGGCACCCACCACAGAGACCUCACGUGUGUGCUUUGUAAGUGAGGCUGCCCAAGCUCUGUCAAAAGCUCUUGUUUCAAAUCUAUAUUUGAAUAGUAACAUUUCAGGAAAUGUGACAUUAAAAAAAUAAAACCUAAA